rnacentral:rRNA from 1 species
GAUGAACGCUAGCGGCAGGCUUAACACAUGCAAGUCGAGGGGUAACAGAGGUGCUUGCACUUGCUGACGACCGGCGAACGGGUGCGUAACGCGUAUAGAAUCUACCUCUUACUAAGGGAUAGCCCAGAGAAAUUUGGAUUAAUAUCUUAUAGUAUGUUGACUUGGCAUCAAGAUAACAUUAGAGGUUACGGUGAGAGAUGACUAUGCGUCCUAUUAGCUAGAUGGUGUGGUAACGGCACACCAUGGCAACGAUAGGUAGGGGCCCUGAGAGGGGGAUCCCCCACACUGGUACUGAGACACGGACCAGACUCCUACGGGAGGCAGCAGUGAGGAAUAUUGGACAAUGGAGGCAACUCUGAUCCAGCCAUGCCGCGUGCAGGAGGACUGCCCUAUGGGUUGUAAACUGCUUUUAUACAGGAAGAAACACCUCUACGUGUAGAGGCUUGACGGUACUGUAAGAAUAAGGAUCGGCUAACUCCGUGCCAGCAGCCGCGGUAAUACGGAGGAUCCAAGCGUUAUCCGGAAUCAUUGGGUUUAAAGGGUCCGUAGGUGGAUAAUUAAGUCAGAGGUGAAAUCCUGCAGCUUAACUGUAGAAUUGCCUUUGAUACUGGUUAUCUUGAGUUGUUAUGAAGUAGUUAGAAUAUGUAGUGUAGCGGUGAAAUGCAUAGAUAUUACAUAGAAUACCAAUUGCGAAGGCAGAUUACUAAUAAUAUACUGACACUGAUGGACGAAAGCGUGGGGAGCGAACAGGAUUAGAUACCCUGGUAGUCCACGCCGUAAACGAUGGUCACUAGCUGUUCGAAUUUCGGUUUGAGUGGCUAAGCGGAAGUGAUAAGUGACCCACCUGGGGAGUACGUUCGCAAGAAUG